rnacentral:lncRNA from 7 species
GGUUACUGUUAGAGGAUUUCUGAAUGUUGGUCAGUAAGUGGACAAACCACUUCUUUGAUUGGCUCUUCCUUGACCCACCUGGUCAGCUUGUUUAGUGGCAGUCGUGCUGAAUCAACAAGGAGUUUUUGGUGAAAGAAAGCUUUCAAUGAUGAAAUCUUCCUGAUUCGUCCCUAUGAUGGAGGAAAGGAAAAUGCUACUGACACAUGGCAUGUACCCUGCAGUCGCUGGACUACAGGAGAUGCUGCCAGCCUCUGCCAUCCAGGAGAACUGCACAUCAACAAAUGAAGAAGCAGGAACGAACCUGGAAGGCAAACAGCCUUCAGAAAUGAGGGACUUUCAGUGUGAUUGAAAGUCACAUCCCAGCUCUUUAAAUUCUCACUUUGAUUCACCAGAUCUGCUCUGUCUUAUGACAUCCAGGGAUCUUGCCUUGAGUGUGGAAAACCCCUCUCAUCUGUUUGCUGGGCUCCCCUUGGUUAUGUAGCUGUUGCUGAUGUUACAGCACCUAAGCACAUAGGUGGCACAUAGCUGGAGUUCCCAGUCCUCCUUCUGCACCCCAACAGGCUGCACUGAUGUCAAUGGUAGGGGCUCAGAUCUACUGGGAUUCAGAUUCUCUCCUUACAGGGACCUUCUUAAAGUCCAUUGGUACAUUAUUCUUUUGAGCAAAUUUAAAACUGCUAUGAAAAAGAGAAAUGCAAGUUGAUGGUUGAAAGUAAAUAUAUAUGAAAUAUUUGAGAUUCAGUGAGUUUAUACUAUUCAAGAUCUUUUGUGCUAAGUAAGAAUAGGCUAAUUUGUAUGAUGUCAGAAAGGAAGAUCAAGCUGUGACUCUCAAAGUGUUGGGGUUUUUCUGUGGGCUUCUUCACCUUUUCUUUUUAAUUGAUGUUGAGAAGAAUGAAAAUUAAACAAAUGUCAAACUCUGUAUGAAUAUGUUAUAGCUAGUAGGCAUAGCAGGAAACUUUGUAAUAGUAAUAUUUUAUAUUGAACUUAUAGGCAGGAAUAAAACAAUCAGCAUCAUUUGAAAAUUUUCCAUUAAGAUGGUUUUCCAGUGGAAAAAAAAAUGCCCUUUCCACAAAUAUAAAAUUUGGAUUCAUCAAAAAAAAAAAAAAAAAAGAUUAUCCUU